UACGUAGGGUCCGAGCGUUGCUCGGAAUUACUGGGCGUAAAGCGCACGUAGGCGGCUCUUUAAGUCGGGGGUGAAAUCCUGGAGCUCAACUCCAGAACUGCCUUCGAUACUGUAGAGCUUGAGUUCGGGAGAGGUGAGUGGAACUGCGAGUGUAGAGGUGAAAUUCGUAGAUAUUCGCAAGAACACCAGUGGCGAAGGCGGCUCACUGGCCCGAUACUGACGCUGAGGUGCGAAAGCGUGGGGAGCAAACAGG
rnacentral:rRNA from 1 species